AUUGAACGCUGGCGGCAUGCCUAACACAUGCAAGUCGAACGGCAGCACGGGAGCUGGCUGCUGGUACCGGUGGGCGAACGGGGGCGUAAUACAUAGGCACAGGUCCUGAAGUGUUGGAGGGCGCUACGAAAGCGGGAUUAAUACCAAAAACGAACUCCGCCUGCAGGCGAGGGCCCUUGAGCCCCCGACCUUUAGCGUUUGCAGGUGGCGAUGUCGGAUUAGCUAGUUGGUGGGGUAAAGGCCUACCAAGGCGACGAUCCGUAGCUGGUCUGAGAGGAUGAUCAGCCACACUGGGACUGAGACACGGUCCAGACUCCUACGGGAGGCAGCAGUGGGGAAUUUUGGACAAUGGGCGCAAGCCUGAUCCAGCCAUGCCGCGUGUGUGAAGAAGGCCUUCGGGUUGUAAAGCCCUUUUGUUGGGAAAGAAAAGCUUGGGCCUAAUACGGCGGUGUGAUGACGGUACCCGAAGAAUAAGCACCGGCUAACUUCGUG
rnacentral:rRNA from 1 species